GUACACGCUGUGACUAGCAUAUCAAUAAGCGGAGGAAAAGAAACUAACAAGGAUUCCCCUAGUAACGGCGAGUGAAGCGGGAAGAGCUCAAAUUUGAAAUCUUAAAGGGUUUCCCUUUACGAAUUGUAGUUUAAAGAAGUGUUUUCUGUUGAGGUUUUGGUAAAAGUUCUUUGGAAUAGGACAUCAUAGAGGGUGAGAAUCCCGUAUUUGACCUUUACUUUCAACUUUGUGAUACACUUUCAAAGAGUCGGAUUGUUUGGGAAUGCAGUCCAAAAUGGGUGGCUAAAUUUCAUCUAAAGCUAAAUAUUGGCGAGAGACCGAUAGCGAACAAGUACCGUGAGGGAAAGAUGAAAAGAACUUUGAAAAGAGAGUUAAACAGUACGUGAAAUUGUCAAAAGGGAAGCGUUUGACACCAGUGUUGUUUUUCUGAAAAUCAAUUAAAGAACUGUUUAUGCUAAGUUGUUUAGACUUUAUCAGCUAACUGUUUAGUUUUGAGCUUUUCUUUAAUGCACCUUUCAGUUAACAAGUCAACAUCAAUUUCUUUUGCUGUAAAAAAGCUUGAGGAAGGUGGCUUGAGAUUCGUCUUAAGUGUUUAUAGCCUCUUGCCUAUGCAGUCGGAGAGAUUGAGGUCUGCAGCGUAGAUCCUUCGGGGCUAAAUGCAUUUGUGCUAAGUUAUAGCAUUUUAUAGACAACUUGUUGACUAUGAUUUGUCUUGUAACUUACUCGCUUAUGUUAUUUUACCUACGCUUAGGAUGUUGAUAUGCAUGACUGAUAU
rnacentral:rRNA from 1 species